UUAAUAUUUAUCUUUGCAUGAAUUCAAUCUCUUACCUUAACAUUAAAAAUAUGAAUUCCCUUAUCUAUGCCAUAUCCAUUAAUUAUUAUAAACUUGGGGACAUUAUUUAUUUUAUCAGUUUCAAGCCUAGCUUUAUACUCCAUGCUAAGUUCAGGAUGAACUUCAAGUUCAAAACAUGCCUUCUUAAGUAUACACAUGAGGAGCAGCAGCACAAUUUCAUUCGAAGGAAGUUUAGUAAUUACGUUACAAUCAGUUAUAUGAAUAAGUGGAUCAUUUACACUCUCUACUCUUAUAAUUAACUAAGGGUAUUUAUGAUUAAUUUUCCCAUCAUGGCCACUGCUUCAUUCAUCCUAACUGAAGGAGAAUGAUAACUUGUGUCAGGCUUUAAUGUUAAAUAUGCAGCAGGACCAUUUGCCUAUUCUUUGCUGAGUAUGCUAAAUAUCAUCAUGAUAAAUACUCCUACAUUAAUUUUAUUUUUAGGAACCAUAUUCCAGAAAUUUAGACAAUAACUUUUAUUAUUAAGACUUUACUGCUUACUAUUUUAUUUCUAUGAGUAUGAACUUCAUACCCAGUAUUUUAUUAUGGCCAAUGCCUUCAUUUCCUAUCAAAGACUUUACUACCACUUAACUUAGCCCUACGUAUGUCACAUUUCAAUCUUCAUUGUAUCAUGA
rnacentral:lncRNA from 1 species